CUUCACUUGUUUGUUUUAAUAUUCUGGAUAAAAGCUAAAUACAUCAGGAUAUUACAGGUGGACAUUCAGAUGGUAAUCUCAGUAAAUAUUCUGCCAAACUCUGAUUGAAUUACUCAGUAUAUCAGGACCUGGAUAUUUGCAUUGUGUGUGAUGAGGGUGUCACUGGCUGGGCCCAAAGGGCAGUAAAG